UAGGGAAUCUUCGGCAAUGGACGAAAGUCUGACCGAGCAACGCCGCGUGAGUGAAGAAGGUUUUCGGAUCGUAAAACUCUGUUGUUAGAGAAGAACAAGGACGUUAGUAACUGAACGUCCCCUGACGGUAUCUAACCAGAAAGCCACGGCUAACUACGUGCCAGCAGCCGCGGUAAUACGUAGGUGGCAAGCGUUGUCCGGAUUUAUUGGGCGUAAAGCGAGCGCAGGCGGUUUCUUAAGUCUGAUGUGAAAGCCCCCGGCUCAACCGGGGAGGGUCAUUGGAAACUGGGAGACUUGAGUGCAGAAGAGGAGAGUGGAAUUCCAUGUGUAGCGGUGAAAUGCGUAGAUAUAUGGAGGAACACCAGUGGCGAAGGCGGCUCUCUGGUCUGUAACUGACGCUGAGGCUCGAAAACGUGGGGAGCAAACAGG
rnacentral:rRNA from 1 species